rnacentral:rRNA from 2 species
CUGGUGGGUAGUUUGACUGGGGCGGUCUCCUCCUAAAGAGUAACGGAGGAGCACGAAGGUUGGCUAAUCCUGGUCGGACAUCAGGAGGUUAGUGCAAUGGCAUAAGCCAGCUUGACUGCGAGCGUGACGGCGCGAGCAGGUGCGAAAGCAGGUCAUAGUGAUCCGGUGGUUCUGAAUGGAAGGGCCAUCGCUCAACGGAUAAAAGGUACUCCGGGGAUAACAGGCUGAUACCGCCCAAGAGUUCAUAUCGACGGCGGUGUUUGGCACCUCGAUGUCGGCUCAUCACAUCCUGGGGCUGAAGUAGGUCCCAAGGGUAUGGCUGUUCGCCAUUUAAAGUGGUACGCGAGCUGGGUUUAGAACGUCGUGAGACAGUUCGGUCCCUAUCUGCCGUGGGCGCUGGAGAACUGAGGGGGGCUGCUCCUAGUACGAGAGGACCGGAGUGGACGCAUCACUGGUGUUCGGGUUGUCAUGCCAAUGGCACUGCCCGGUAGCUAAAUGCGGAAGAGAUAAGUGCUGAAAGCAUCUAAGCACGAAACUUGCCCCGAGAUGAGUUCUCCCUGAGACUUAGAGUCUCCUGAAGGAACGUUGAAGACGACGACGUUGAUAGGCCGGGUGUGUAAGCGCAGCGAUGCGUUGAGCUAACCGGUACUAAUGAACCGUGAGGCUUAACCUUAC